rnacentral:rRNA from 1 species
UACACAUGCAAGUCGAACGGCAGCACGGGGGCAACCCUGGUGGCGAGUGGCGAACGGGUGAGUAAUACAUCGGAACGUGUCCUGUAGUGGGGGAUAGCCCGGCGAAAGCCGGAUUAAUACCGCAUACGCUCGAGAGAGGAAAGUGGGGGAUCUUCGGACCUCACGCUAAAGGGGCGGCCGAUGGCAGAUUAGCUAGUUGGUGGGGUAAAGGCCUACCAAGGCGACGAUCUGUAGCUGGUCUGAGAGGACGACCAGCCACACUGGGACUGAGACACGGCCCAGACUCCUACGGGAGGCAGCAGUGGGGAAUUUUGGACAAUGGGGGCAACCCCUGAUCCAGCAAUGCCGCGUGUGUGAAGAAGGCCUUCGGUUGUA